GGCAUGGCGGCGGCUACAAUGCAGUCGAGCGGACGAAUGGAGCUGGCUCCCUGAUGUCUGCGGCGGACGGGGGAGUGGCCCGUGAAUAUGCUGGAUGUGAGAGUGGGAUAACUCCAGGAAACCGGGGCUAAUACCGGAUGGUUGUUUGAACCGCAUGGUUCCAUCAUGAAAUGGGGCUUUGGCUACCACUUACGUAUGAAUCCCUGGUGCGUUAGGUAAUGGGUCAGGUAACGGAUCUCCAGGCCAGGAUGCAUAGCCGACCUGAGAGGGUGAUCGCCGACACUGGGUCUGAGACACUGCCCAAACUCCUACGGGGAAUAUUGUACGGAAUCUUCAACACUGAACCAAACUUGCACCGAGCGUCACCACGGGAGUGAUAAAGGUUUUCGGAUCGUAUAGCUCUGAUGGUCGUUAAGAACAUAUACCGUUGUAUUAACGCGGUACCUUGACGGUACCUAACCUAAAUUCCACCCCUAACUCCCUGCCAUCCGCCGGGUGAAUACGUAAGUGGCAAUUAUUGUCCGUAAUUAUUGCGCAUGUGGGUUGCGCAGGUGAUUUCUUAAGUCUCAGGUGAAAGCCCCCGGCUCAACCGGGAAGUGUCAUUCUAAACUGGGGAACAUGAGUGCGGAAUAUCAUAUUGAAUUCCAAAUGCAUCGAUAAAAUACGGAACGAUGU
rnacentral:rRNA from 1 species